rnacentral:rRNA from 1 species
GGAUUAGUGGCGGACGGGUGAGUAACGCGUGAGUAACCUGCCUUAGAGAAGGGGAUAGCCUUUGGAAACGAAGAAUAAUACCCUAUGAAAUGACAUUAUCGCAUGAUAAUAUCAUCAAAGAUUUAUCGCUCUAAGAUGGACUUGCGUCUGAUUAGUUAGUUGGUGAGGUAACGGCCCACCAAGACAGCGAUCAGUAGCCGGCUUGAGAGAGUGUACGGCCACAUUGGGACUGAGACACGGCCCAGACUCC